rnacentral:rRNA from 1 species
UGGGGAAUAUUGCACAAUGGGCGAAAGCCUGAUGCAGCGACGCCGCGUGAGGGAUGACGGCCUUCGGGUUGUAAACCUCUUUCAGCAGGGAAGAAGCGAAAGUGACGGUACCUGCAGAAGAAGCGCCGGCUAACUACGUGCCAGCAGCCGCGGUAAUACGUAGGGCGCAAGCGUUGUCCGGAAUUAUUGGGCGUAAAGAGCUCGUAGGCGGUUAGUCGCGUCUGCUGUGAAAACUCGAGGCUCAACCUCGGGCUUGCAGUGGGUACGGGCUGACUAGAGUGCGGUAGGGGUGACUGGAAUUCCUGGUGUAGCGGUGGAAUGCGCAGAUAUCAGGAGGAACACCGAUGGCGAAGGCAGGUCACUGGGCCGCAACUGACGCUGAGGAGCGAAAGCAUGGGGAGCGAACAGGAUUAGAUAGCCCUGGUAGUCCAUGCCGUAAACGUUGGGCACUAGGUGUGGGUCCAUUCCACGGAUUCCGUGCCGCAGCAAA